CAUUGGCUCUGAAGUCUCCAUGGCGCCUGAACAGAUGCUGUCUUUAUUAUAUAAUAAAAUCAUAUUAUGUAAAAGUAACAGUGUCAACGGACGUUUUCUUCAACAUCUGCACAUCCUUGAGGUCUAAGAGAAACUACGACAAAAAAGUGGCGACGAGGAUGGGAUCAGUUUGUGGUCUCCUUUGAGGUCACUGACAGCUCCAGCGCACUCUUCCACCGCUUCAGAGAAGGAGAGAGAGAAAAGGACCGGUCAGAGAGAAGAGACUGAGGAGAUGGAAUGCGUCUGAAUUCCGAUCUCCAAGAGGACAGAUGAGAGGACAGCUGAUGGUGCUCUACAUGAGCUGAGAUUGUGCGGAUGACAACAUGUGUGGCUCUGGUGUCCGACGUCAUCAAGGCUAGUGUGAUUUUAUCUACAAACUGUUUUUUGAUGUUGCUUUACUUAUGUACACACACAUAACCAUUUAUUGCUGAUAUUGCUGACACAUAUUUAGCUGGUUUUCGCAUAUAGGACCAUGGUGUUUCUUUUACAGCAGUGACACAGUUUUUUGAUUUGGGGUCAAUGAAGCACAUCAGUGUAUACAUAGAGGGGAUGGUUUGAUUAUUGGGGAGGAAGCUUGACAACAGACUGACCAUCUGAGGCAUUUAAUUGAUUAGUAGAUCAUUAUUGAUUUAGAGGAUUAUUAAACAUUUGUAGAGAGGUUGAUUUGGCUUAAAGGCUGUUGAGUGCAUGAUGUCAAAGAGGGACCGUAUAGUUAGGAGAGUGAUUACACCUGUUGAUGUAGUCCAAAAGAACAAUCCGCUUGUUGAAGGUAUUGCAGAGAUGUCGCGGAAGUGGAGCAAGCGGUGGCCUGAUUAUCGACCGACCUUGGCCAGUAGAGGGAACUUUCAGUCCUGAUGUGAUAGAAACAAUGCAGGUGUUGGUGUCCACCCAUAAGACAGGUCAGCAGAAAGGCUGCAAGUAGAGGUUCAGAGGAGAAUGCGAGGGCCUAUGUGUCGAGGGCUCAUCAGACGUGGAGAAAUGUCACAGGAAAUGACCCAGAAGUGAACCAGAUGGAGAAGUCGAUUCUGCGAAGUAAAAUACAGAGGGGGCUGCCCCUACUACCAGAAGUGGUUUCUCUGAGGAGCAUGACUAGAGCUGCCUACACAGAUCAUGUGGCUCAUCUGGUGGAGCUACACCGGAAGAAGGAGCGUGCCCAGAAACAGCAGGAUGAGGAGAUGCUUAGGAAACUACAUCAGAUGCAGCUGGUGGAAUCUAGGAGAGAGGUUUGUAGUGAGUAGUGGUUAUAGAAAUGAGUCUGAAUCCUGAGAGCAACAUACAUCUACAGCCAGUGAAACAGCCAGAGGAUUUUUAUUGUGUGAUAUACGAUUUGAGUAUAGAGUGCCUGAUUUUUCAGUAGAUUUUUCAGUAUUCCACUAAGUGUAGAGAAAUUACAUAGUUCUCAUAUUUGCAAUAAAUAUUGGAAGAUGUUUUGGAUACUCAGUCUGUUGCUAAGUUUUUGCUAAGUUUUUGUUAAGUUGGUUGUUAAGUUUGGUGUUGGGGUUUUUGUUCAGUGGGGCCAUAAGCAGGUAAAAGGGUAAAAUUAGUCCUACAUAAUUGAGUAUUGAACUGCAUUUGGGAGUUAUUUACCAUUCAUAAUGUCAAGGUGUUCGCUUAAAAAAAAAGAAAAAAGAAGAAAACAGAAGAAAUUAAUGGUAUGUUGAUAUCCUGCUCUGUUGAUAUCUGACAACACAGGGGUGUGAUUAGGUGAUGAGUGUCAUCCGAGUGAGCUGACUAAUUUACAUUUUCCAUAUCUGACUUCAUUGUAGUCUUCAUGUUUAUUUUUUGGGGUGUCACUUACAAUAGUGAUGUCCAAACUUUAAGGGGAGUAAAUUUGAUCAAAGGUGGGAUUGCACAAUGUCUGAUGAUAAUCUGAUGAUAAUCUGUUAAAGUGAAUUAUAAUAUAUGAUGAUGCAUGAUGUUGUUGGCUGCAAGAUACUGGUGGAUGAUUUGUUUCUUCCCAGAACACCAAGGGGAGAGAGUGGCUGUGGUGCAGAGAUCCCUACAGCCGAGUGGACUCAGAUGUUCACAUGUGGACAUUGAAAUGGACAAUGAGAAAGGAGGGAGAAUCCUGAAUGAGGACAUUGCAGUGAGAGCAUACUACGACACCAGAAGCUGCUGAAGAGCGACAGUUUGAUAUAUUGAUGUGUGUUUUCAUGUAUGCUUACAAUAUUGGAUGUUGUUUCAUCAUGUAUAAUCUGUUUUAUUACUAGAUGUUUACUCUUGCUUACCCUUCCCUACAUAGGGGGAUAUUUGAAUUAAUGAUAAUGCUAGUAUGUUUAGUUUGGGAGUUUCUAUAACUCUAUGAUUGAUGUGAAUUGUUUAUGAUAAGGGGUUUCAUUCAUUUGGAUGUUUUCUCCGAGAAGGUGAGUACAUUGGGAUCUCAGGUGUUUUCUUUUUUCGAUUGUUUAGGGACAGUGAUGUUAGGCAGGAGGAGGUCCAUUGAAGGGUGCAAUGGGUCGACCAGCCUGACUUUGGACAAUUUUUGAUUUUAUUUCUGUGAUUCCCAAAUGUAUUUGCUUCCACUUAUUUCACAGAAUCCUUUGAACCUCUUUUGUUAUUGGCUUGGAGUACCAUAUGUGGUCGCCUAGGGCAGAGAGACCGUGGGAGAAUUUUCCUGUCUUGAUUGUUCGAUGGAUAAUUUGGGAAAAAUAGCUGCCUGGCAGGUUUUUCGCUCUCACACUCCAUAGAUUUACUAUAUUGCUGAGCUUGUGCCAUGAUUAGCAUGGACAAGAAGAAAAAGUCAUAAACAUUCUGUGUGAGACUCUUAUGUAACUGAUAUUAUGAUAAUUAGCGAGACUAAUGUCUCGAAGUGGGGGAAAUAUGUAGUAUCUGAUCUGAGACAUGUAUUAGUUGAUAAGUUAGUAGAAUGGAAUCCGUUUUGUCUGUUCUAUUAGCUGACCAGCAACUUGUGGGAAAACAUAUGUUUCCUUUUUCCCUACGUAAACAGGUAGUCUCUGACAGGAGAUAUAGGUCUUUCUGGUUUGGUUCUGGGAAUGUUUAUGUUUAACAGGCUGAGGUAAUGUUUAUGCAGGGGUCCCCUGUCCAGAUAUUGAUGGAUGGCCCUAUAUAAUUGAGGGGUCUGGUUGACAGGGGGUAUCCUGUAUCCUGUUUUUACCAAGUUUUCUAACAGAGACUAGAUGUUGUGACCUCAUACGUCACCAACGGCCAAAUGACCAAAUGACCACCGGCCCUUUGCUCAAGUGGGAUUUUCACAUUGGCUCUGAAGUCUCCAUGGCGCCUGAACAGAUGCUGUC
ensembl:lncRNA